UUUUCCGCCGCGCCCCGCGGAUCGCCGCCGCCGCUCCUGAGCGGGCCGGGCCGGCUGAGGCGGCCGCGUGGUGGCCGCGGCUGGCGGCGAAGCGGGGUCACCCUCCCGUACGGUGCGCUGCGGCGUUGGCGCUGAUAAGGCACCGCUCCGAGGACCGGGCAGGGCAGGCGCUGCGCAGGGCUCGACCUCAGCCUUCGGGGUUGGGCGCGGGGCAUUCCCGGGGAUGAGCACCCGGCCUGGCACCUGCGAGCCUUUGGACACCAGCCGCGAGCCUUCUUGGAGCUACAUCCCAAAUGCUGUCACGGUCAUCAAUCUCUACUUGCCAGCAGAGCAACUGAAGUCUGUGGACAGACUCGUUUCUCUUCCUUGCCAGAGGCCAAGCACCCAAAUGGGGUUUCUCAACACAACAAACUUCAUUACAAGGCUUUCUGCUUUAUGUCUGAGGAAAAACAAGAUGCAAUACAGGCAACAAAGUAAUAGACGACCAACGGUUCCACUCGGAUCACGGAUUUUAACUGAUCCUUCUAAGGUCUUUGAGCAUAACAUGUGGGACCACAUGCAAUGGUCACAAGAAGAAGAGGAGAAUGCCAAGAAAAAAGCAACAGAUAACUCUCUUGUGAAAGUUCAAUCAGAAGACCAAGAUAAAUAUGAGAGAGAAGCCAGUAAAUACUGGAAUGAAUUUUACAAGACACAUAAAAAUAACUUUUUCAAGGAUCGCAAUUGGCUGUUUCUGGAGUUUCCAGAAAUUCUUCCAGAAAAAAGGAGACAAGAGUUCAAAACAGAAAAAAUAUCUUUGGAACACACAAAAAUAAAUAAUGACAACAGCUUUUCACUCAAAAAUGGAAUGUUUGAAGAAGGAGAAAAAUACUGGGAGAAAAAUUAUGGAUCUGGUUCUACUGCUGUACAAGGAUAUUUAUAUAAUAAAAAUCAAGUAAAAGCUCUUACUGACAAUCCUCAAGGUAAAAACCGUGGAGAAGAACUUGGCCAGGUAGAAUCCUUCCCUGGCUGUCAUGCCACUUACCGAAUAUUAGAGGUUGGUUGUGGAGCUGGAAACAGUGUCUUUCCUAUUCUGAAAGUUCUAUGCAGUACACCUGGAACCUUUCUAUACUGUUGUGAUUUUGCUUCAGGAGCAGUGGAGCUGGUAAAGGCACAUUCGUCCUACAAUUCAGCCUGGUGUUCUGCCUUUGUUCAUGAUGUGUGUGAUGAUGCUUUACCCUAUCCUUUUCCAGAUGAGAUCCUGGAUGUCAUUCUCCUUGUCUUUGUGCUCUCUACUAUUCAUCCUGACAGGAUGCAAGGGGUUGUAAAUAGGUUGGCUAAGCUACUGAAGCCUGGAGGAAUGUUGUUAUUUCGAGACUACGGAAGAUAUGAUACAGCUCAACUUCGCUUUAAAGAAGGUCAUUGCUUGUCAGAAAAUUUUUAUGUAAGAGGAGAUGGAACCAGAGUAUAUUUCUUUACCAAAGAUGAGGUAUGGAACAUGUUCACCGUGGCUGGAUUAACUGAAGUACAGAAUUUAGUUGAUCGGCGAUUACAAGUAAACAGAAAGAAAAAAGUGAAAAUGCAGCGAGUUUGGAUACAAAGCAAGUUCCAAAAACCAUUGCUAUCUCUGCAUAAUCCUGAAGAAAACACCAAAAGGCACCCUUGUCAAUAACUGUACUCCAGAAAUGCAAUACAGAAUUGAACUUCAGAAACUGAAGCAAAUUUAAGCUGAAGGGUAAACAUGUCACAGCUGAUCUUUUUGCAAGUUAUUAGUUGCUAAGCUAAGGAGGACUGAUGGUCUUCUAGGAAGAAAACCCUAAAUUUUCUAAACAGGGAUGCCAAAUAUCUUCAUCCCCUUUAACCCAGAUGUGUUUCAAGAAUGAGUUGCAAUAAGAGGUCUGAUCCUGCAUUUUUGAUCUAUUUGAAGCUCCCAUUAGAGGAAGAUACUGUUUUAUGAAUUAAGAGGCUUAGGAAGCUUUGGUUUGCAAUAGCAUUACUGUAAACUGCAAUAAAACUUGUAGCAUAAAUCAAAGGUUAAAACACAGCUGUAUUUCUUAAAGCCCUAAGAGAUUGUAGCAUCUUCAUAGAAAAUAUAAAUAAAU